UCAAACUCUUGGGCUUUCGGCGCUGCGCUGUCCUCCGCGGCGGCACCGCUUGGUGAAGAGAUUUGUUGUUACAAAGCCUGGACCUCCGGAGGAGAUGGAAGUUUUCUCCCUCAUCCUGGUCGUGUCCGUCUGUUGGACUCGAACCUGGAAAGCGGCGAUUGCAGAUUCAAUCAUUCAUAUCGGGGCAAUUUUUGAUGAAUCUGCCAAAAAAGAUGAGGAAGUGUUUCGAAUGGCAGUUGCUGAUCUCAACCAGAAUGAUGAAAUCUUACAAACAGAGAAAAUCACAUGUUCAGUGACGUUUGUGGAUGGCAACAAUCCUUUUCAGGCGGUUCAAGAAGCCUGUGACCUGAUGAACCAAGGCAUCCUAGCCCUUGUCAGCUCCAUUGGCUGCACCUCAGCAGGAUCCCUGCAGUCACUGGCAGAUGCCAUGCACAUCCCUCACCUCUUCAUCCAGCGCUCAACGGCAGGAACGCCAAGGAGUGGCUGCGGGCUCACCAGGAGCAACCGCAACGAUGACUACACACUCUCUGUCCGCCCCCCUGUCUACUUAAAUGAUGUCAUCUUGAGGGUGGUCACAGAAUAUGCCUGGCAGAAAUUCAUUAUUUUUUACGAUAAUGACUAUGAUAUCCGUGGAAUACAAGAAUUUUUAGACAAAGUAUCUCAACAGGGAAUGGAUGUAGCAUUGCAGAAAGUAGAAAACAACAUCAAUAAAAUGAUCACGGGGCUCUUUGCCACUAUGCGAAUAGAAGAACUGAACCGCUACCGGGAUACCCUGAGACGGGCUAUUCUCAUAAUGAACCCUUCGACAGCCAAAUCAUUCCUGACAGAGGUCGUGGAGACUAAUUUGGUUGCUUUUGACUGUCACUGGAUCAUUAUAAAUGAGGAAAUAAAUGACGUGGAUGUGCAGGAGCUGGUGAGAAGGUCAAUUGGAAGAUUAACAAUUAUUCGACAGACAUUUCCAGUUCCCCAAAACAUAAGUCAGCGCUGUUUCCGUGGCAACCACAGAAUAUCUUCAUCACUGUGUGAUCCGAAGGACCCUUUCUCCCAAAGCAUGGAGAUUUCAAACCUGUAUAUAUAUGACACUGUCCUCCUACUGGCAAAUGCCUUUCAUAAAAAGCUGGAGGACAGGAAGUGGCACAGCAUGGCCAGCCUCACCUGCAUCAGGAAGAACUCUAAACCCUGGCAAGGAGGACGAUCGAUGUUGGAAACCAUCAAGAAGGGUGGAGUGAAUGGCUUGACUGGAGAACUGGAAUUUGCCGAAAAUGGGGGGAAUCCCAAUGUGCAUUUUGAAAUUUUGGGGACAAAUUAUGGAGAAGAUCUUGGCAGAGGAAUCCGCAAGCUCGGCUGCUGGAAUCCUGUCACUGGUCUGAAUGGGUCACUAACAGACAGAAAGUUGGAGAAUAACAUGCGAGGAGUGGUUCUGCGUGUGGUGACAGUGCUGGAAGAGCCUUUUGUCAUGGUGUCUGAAAAUGUUCUGGGAAAACCCAAGAAGUAUCAGGGCUUCUCAAUAGAUGUGUUGGAAGCCUUGGCUACUUACCUCGGCUUUAAGUAUGAAAUUUAUGUUGCACCGGAUCACAAAUAUGGGAGUCCUCAGGAUGAUGGGUCAUGGAACGGACUGAUAGGAGAACUGGUAUUUAAGAGAGCUGAUAUAGGAAUCUCUGCCCUAACCAUCACCCCGGACAGGGAGAAUGUGGUGGACUUCACAACGCGUUACAUGGACUACUCGGUGGGCGUGCUGCUUCGGAAGGCAGAGAAGACAGUGGACAUGUUUGCCUGCUUGGCACCAUUUGACCUCUCCCUGUGGGCAUGCAUUGCUGGCACUGUGCUCUUAGUAGGGCUACUGGUCUACCUCUUGAAUUGGCUCAACCCCCCACGCCUUCAGAUGGGAUCCAUGACAUCUACAACUCUCUACAACUCCAUGUGGUUUGUGUAUGGAUCCUUUGUGCAACAAGGAGGAGAGGUUCCAUACACAACCCUGGCAACCCGACUGAUGAUGGGAGCUUGGUGGCUUUUUGCUUUGAUUGUCAUCUCCUCCUACACAGCAAACCUAGCAGCUUUCCUCACCAUCACACGCAUUGAGAACUCCAUCCAGUCUCUCCAGGAUCUGUCGAGGCAGACGGAUAUUCCUUAUGGCACUGUCUUGGACUCCGCAGUCUAUGAGCACGUCCGAGUGAAAGGGAUGAAUCCUUUUGAGAGGGAUGGCAUGUAUUCCCAAAUGUGGAGGAUGAUUAACAGAAGUAAUGGCUCAGAGAACAACGUCGUGGAGUCGACCGCAGGUAUUCAAAAGGUGAAAUACGGAAACUAUGCCUUUGUCUGGGAUGCAGCAGUGCUGGAGUACGUGGCCAUCAACGAUGCAGAGUGCUCUUUUUACACAGUCGGGAACACUGUUGCGGACAGAGGAUAUGGGAUCGCACUGCAGCAUGGCAGCCCCUACCGAGAUGCUUUCUCACAAAGGAUUUUGGAGCUGCAGCAGAAUGGCGACAUGGACAUACUGAAGCAUAAAUGGUGGCCGAAGAACGGUCAGUGUGAUCUUUACUCAUCUGUGGAUACCAAACAGAAAGGAGGUGCCCUGGACAUAAAAAGUUUUGCAGGUGUUUUCUGCAUCCUCGCUGCAGGGAUUGUCCUAUCCUGUUUCAUUGCAAUGUUGGAAACGUGGUGGAAUAAAAGGAAAGGCUCCCGGGUUCCAUCAAAAGAGGUAUUAGACCCUCCAUUUCUCCUGGGGAAUUUUCAUGCACCCUAAAUAAUGCUGCCUUGACUUUAUAGCACUAGAGAGGGUGGGUAAUCAAAUUUUGAGAUACUUCAUUAGCUUCCUGAUUUUUUAAGAUAAAUUAUGUUCCUCAAAACCUUUUAAGCUAUUCUUUCUAGAAAUAAAUUAUUUGAAUGGAAAUAAAUAUAUGUUGAUGAUGUAUAAAUAUGCAACUAUUCUGAGUAAAACACAUCUGUUACUUGUAGAAUAGUACAUUAUUAAUACAUCAAUAUUUGGUUCAUUAUUCCCAUUGGUGACAGCUAAUUCUCACCAGGUUUCUUGGUUACUUCUUGAAAAAUAUAUCCCCUAAGCUCAAUGGCUGAGUCUUGUCCCCAUUUUCAGAAAUACUGACCUGUUGAGACUUCCAUGAACUUCAGUUCUCAUUAUUGCAUCUGAAGUCCAGGGAAGUAAGGCUACAUUAGAUUUUUCAGGUUCAGGCCAGGCUUAUUUCUGAAAUCUACUACAGACUUGUUUCAGAAAAUCUUGGACGGAGGCCACAGGGAGAUAUGUUAUUUUACAUCUGAGAUGAGUUUGCUUCUACACCUGCAUGUGUAAUGCUUUCCUUCCUGUGGUAACCUACCUGUCCCUUUACCAGCCAUCUGAGCCUUAUGCAACUUUAUACCAAAUUUCUUACCUUUAUAAUUAAGUAUUUACAUCUACAAAAUACUAAAAAAAAAUCAGGGAAAAAACAAUUUAUUAAAAUAAACCUGGCAGCAACACCCAAAGCUGAACCCAAAUAUGAGCUUUAGUGACACACUGUCAAAUAUAGCUUUUCUGUCUGUGUAGCUUAGGCACAUCUGUGUAGCUUGUGGGGUAUUGCUGUUAAUUUGUGUGCAGUGGUCUUGCUUUCUCUGCAGUUUCUCCAUUGUGUUUAUUCCUGCUAAUCUAAUGCUGUAUAUUAGGGAAGGAUUAAUUACCCUACCUAAUUAGACAGCAUUGGCACUGAUGUUAAAAUACGUUUAAUCUUUUCUUGCCUGUUUUAAUUCCCAAGCUUUUUUUUUUUUUUUUUUGUUCAAGAUCUGGACCGGACCAUUAUUAAAAGGAAAAAAAAAAAGGAAUCUCUAGUCUUUAAAUUGGGUUUCUCAGGAGUGGAAACCAUAUAGUUUCAACUGGUAAAUUAUUUUAAAAACCUAAAAUUUACUUGAUUGUUGUUCAUCCAAACAUUCAGAACUUCAUACUUCAUAUUUAUCUGAUGCAAAACAGGAAAAUCAAUAACAAAGGAAAACAAAAAAAACACACAGAUAUUUUAUACAACUAAAAAAUUUCUAUUUCAAUUUUCAAAUGCUGAGAAAUUCAAGUGUAUACUUUCCACAAAUGGUAUAAUUUGGCCUCCUUGAUCUUUGCUAUAUGGUCAUUAGUUUAGCAUUUAAAAUUGCAUCUCAACGCUAAAUUGAAAAGCUUGGCUCAAAACUGAGUUUAACAAGGACGUAUGUGCUGAAUGUCCUCAUUAUCCUGGAUGUGGGGGUCAUUCAGCAAGAAAUACAUCUUAACUAACUUUCUUAAAAUUCAUUUUAGCUUCCAUGAAAUCCAUUGGCUCUUCCAGGCCACUAGUCCAGAAUCGGGGGUCAGAUUGGGCCACUUUGUGGUCAGCAAGCCAACCCUUUUUCCUGGUGGCUGCCAUCUUGUGCUCCAGAAUGCAAGCAUUUAUACUGAAAAAAAUUGUCUUAUGGUUGCGAAGAUAACAUUUCGGUCGCGUGCCAGAAGUAACCCAUUCAAUGAUGUCUGCCUGAGUCUGCAGACAGCCUUAAACAGUAGCUCUGAGAGAAGUAUGAACCGCCCCAGUAAUCUCAAUGGGAUGUUGACUCUGAAGCCUGAUGAUAAUUUAAAUGUGAAAACUGCUGAAUAUUUCACUACUGAUCACACAAGAGAGAAGAGGAAAGAUCAUAUUAUGGAGAUAUGCACAAUCUUACUGACGACAAGGAGAUCGACCUGGAGCACCUCCACAGGCGUGUGAACAGCCUCUGCACAGACGACGACAGUCCCCAUAAACAGUUCUCC